rnacentral:lncRNA from 1 species
GAGAGGGACAUGCGCAGUGAGUGCCUCCCGUCUCUUCUACCCGAACCCCCCCUCCCCCCCAAGCAGAGAGACCCCAGCAGCAGCAGCAGCUGAUGAUGAAGAGAGAGGCAGUGGCAGAGGGGGGGCAUCUUUUAUUUCUAUUUUUAAAGGGACAGGACACUAAUUCUACCCCACUUCAACCUUGAAUUCAGGGGGGUGGGGGGAAGGCGGCUGAGUUCCUUCCCCCACCCUCCAGCCCUGAGCCCUGAGAGGGGGAUUGAGCCUGAGAGAGAAGGAGAAGGAGUUUCUUCUUCUUCGAAAACCCCCAUCCACGACUCCUACCCCCUCACCCCUCCAACUCGCCUCCCUCCCGAGCCCCCUCCACCCUCCUCCUCUUUGGCCGUGAGAGGAGGAGAGAAAGAAACCAAAAGCCUCUUAGCAACACAGACCCUUUGCUGCUGCUGCUGCUGCUGCUGCUGCUGCUGCUGUUGCUGCUGCUGCUACUGCUGCUGCUGCUACUGCUGCUGCUUGGCCCUGGCUGGAGACAUCUCACUACACCCAGGAGCAGCCACUUCCCCAGCUCUCCUCCUCCUCCUUCGCCUCCUCCUCCUCCACUCCCCCCCUUUAUUACCCUUUGUGUCAUCCUCCACAGCUCCAGGGAAGGCACUCAAAAGUGGGGGGCAGGAAAGACAAUUAUCAACUUUCCAGUUUUCUAUGGAUAUGAAGAUUUACUCCUAGUCAUCAGUGGGACCCCCAUGAAGUCAGCCAGAAAGCCUAUAUCCAACUUAUGUACCUUUGCAAACUUGUCUGGAUUUUGACUGUAUGUGCAAAACAGAUUGUACUUAGCGAUUCAUUAAACAUCUUUUGAUCAUCUGCUGUCUGCCAGGCACUGUGCUAGGCAUCUGAAAAACAAAGAUGGUCCCUGCAGUUUAAUGUGAAGAGCUAUCUUAAUUGUAUUCCACAAGUGUAUUGGUCAUAUCUUUGUUUUGGUGUUUCUACCUAAAUAAAUUUUAUAUUAACUAAAUGGAUACUGUUAGGUGGAAAAAUGCAUGUUUAAGAAGGAUAUUGCUGUUAUUUUAUUAAAAUACAAAUAUAUAAGGAAAAAUUUUCCACUUAAUACUGUAUUCUAGGGAUUUAUAUUCUGUAUAUAGUUAACACAUGUUAGACAAUGAAAAUAGCCUAUGUGGUUGCCUUUGCUGGAUUUUUAUUGCUAACCGUAAUUCUUUUAAGAUGACCAACAAUGUUCAUUAAAUUAUCUCAUUAAAUUUUUCCAAAAAAAAA